rnacentral:rRNA from 1 species
UACGAAGGGGGCUAGCGUUGCUCGGAAUUACUGGGCGUAAAGCGUGCGCAGGCGGUUUUGUAAGCCAGAUGUGAAAUCCCCGGGCUUAACCUGGGAAUGGCAUUUGGGACUGCAAGGCUUGAGUGCGGCAGAGGAGACUGGAAUACUUGGUGUAGCAGUGAAAUGCGUAGAUAUCAAGUGGAACACCAGUGGCGAAGGCGAGUCUCUGGACAUUUCCUGACGCUGAGGCACGAAAGCCAGGGGAGCAAACGGG